GACAGAGGGUGCAAGCGUUGUUCGGAAUCAUUGGGCGUAAAGGGCGCGUAGGCGGUUUUGUAAGUCGAAUGUGAAAGCCCAGGGCUCAACCUUGGAAGUGCAUUCGAAACUACAGAACUAGAGUCUCGGAGAGGGUGGUGGAAUUCCCAGUGUAGAGGUGAAAUUCGUAGAUAUUGGGAGGAACACCGGUGGCGAAGGCGACCGCCUGGACGAAGACUGACGCUGAGGCGCGAGAGCGUGGGGAGCAAACAGG
rnacentral:rRNA from 1 species